UUUGAACAAAGCAAAUUUAUUUCUAUCAUUUAGCACGGAAAAAGCAUGAAAUGUUUUCAUUUUGAGGGACCUUCUUGUUCACGGAAUUGGGCCACUCAAAUACGGACAUGUGUUGUAGUUCUGAAAAAACUGAAGCCCUCAAAAUCAUCUAAGACAACACAGGAGGAAAUUAAUGCACAGCGUUUGCAGCACGCAGACCCCCUCUUAUCACAAGGGCAAAAUUCCCACUGACAGUGAGAAUCCAGUGCCAGCAGAAGGACCUGUGCAGCUUGAUCACAGUAAACUCCCCCUCUGCCCUGCCAGUGCGAAGGGAUGCACACAGGGCUGGCCGCUUAGAGACCUGAGGCAAAGCUGACUCUAUGUGCUCAUGAAGACAGCCUCUGCAUCUCAAAACUGUACAUGUGCAAGAGCUGGAGUGAUUGCCAUUGCACGCAGGAACCUUCCUGUGUAUCUCCCAAUGCAUCAGGCUUUUCUUUGUCUGGCUCCUUGAUGGCGAGUUCUCCAGGAAAGAGCUUGGCUUGACUAUUAGGUCUUAGUGCGUAAUAAAUAAUGUCAGCAGCAAGCGAGCGCUGUUCUGCAAGGCUUUGCUGGGUUCCCAUUAAUUGCAAAGGACCUUCUUACAUCCUUUGUGUAAUCCCAUUCAUUUUGUUGGCAUCGUACAAGGGAUGGAUUUGGCCUCAAAAAUAAAGCAGGUUUCUUUUGCAUAAUGUAUUGUACCAUUUGGUCUACAUUUUGCUGAAGGUUUAUGUGUACUUGGAUAUUUCUCCCCAGAUAUGCAGCUGGAGAUAUUUUUAAAAUAGCAAACAAUGAACUGAUUCAACUGUCCAAAGCAGUUGUUCCGAUUGUGAAUUGUGGGGUAAGUCGUUAAGAAAGUGUAAGGUGGGCAAAUUUUCAGGAGAGCUUAGGUAAGUUUGUGAGCAUUGGAAAUGCGUGAAGGCAGCUCCAGCCUAGAUUGCUUUCUCUACCUCUGCUGUCCUGAUGGUUUUUGACAAGCUGAUUCCAUUUCUGGAAAAAGCAGUUCAUGAGAGAGAAAGAUUUCUCUAAAGAGUCUGUUGUUUUUCAGAAGAGUGAAAAUGUGUGCUAACAAUUCUGGACCAUUGACAAAAGCAAAAUCAAUACACACGGCCUUCAUUUUACAGCCAAGUUCAAAUGAAUAAAUAGAGAUGCAGCAAGCUGUUUACUAGGGAGACAAGCUUUGCUCUACAUGCCCUUCCAAGCAGGCACAUUUACGCUGUUGUUUGCCUUACGUGGCUGGUUAAUGGAAUCAGUCAAAUAGUUACAGAGCUCACCGGACAUUUCAAACCCCUCCAUCAGCAGUGCUGGCCAAGAGCUGGGAAGCAAGAGCUAUUGUGCAAGAUAGCUCAGGACCUGCAAAUCUCUUCCUGUUGCAGAGUUUUGGGGGCACUUGGGAGGAUUUUGGUACUUUGAAGAACCUAGGCUUGAUUUCAGGGGGAGUUCAUG
rnacentral:lncRNA from 1 species